GACGAACGCUGGCGGCGCGCCUAACACAUGCAAGUCGAACGAGCGAGAGAGAGCUUGCUUUCUCGAGCGAGUGGCGAACGGGUGAGUAACGCGUGAGGAACCUUCCCCAAAGAGGGGGACAACAGUUGGAAACGACUGCUAAUACCGCAUAAGCCCACGGCCCGGCAUCGAGCAGGGGGAAAAGGAGCAAUCCGCUUUGAGAUGGCCUCGCGUCCGAUUAGCUAGUUGGUGAGGUAACGGCCCACCAAGGCGACGAUCGGUAGCCGGACUGAGAGGGUGAACGGCCACAUUGGGACUGAGACACGGCCCAGACUCCUACGGGAGGCAGCAGUGGGGAAUAUUGCACAAUGGGGGAAACCCUGAUGCAGCGACGCCGCGUGGAGGAAGAAGGUCUUCGGAUUGUAAACUCCUAUUGUUGGGGAAGAUAAUGACGGUACCCAACUAGGAAGUGACGGCUAACUACGUG
rnacentral:rRNA from 1 species